rnacentral:tRNA from 1 species
GCCCAGGUGGUGAAAUUGGUAGACACGCACGCUUGAGGGGCGUGUGGAGUAAAAUCCGUGCUGGUUCGAGUCCAGUCCUGGGCA